rnacentral:lncRNA from 1 species
AUCUCUAAUGUGCAAAAGAAACAAAGCACAUUGGCUAAUAGCAAUAAAAAGAGUAAAGUUAAUAUAGCAUUGAGGAACUUAAGGUAUGGCCGGGGUGUUCACAAGUGCAUUAACUGUUGUUCUGAAAUAAAAUAUUUUGCAAACCAUUUUCCUGCGUACAUCCACUGUAGUUUUUGCAGAUACAACACCAGCUGUAGCAAAGCCUAUGUAAAUCAUAUGAGGAGUUUUCAUAGUAGUCCAAGUAAAGGGUUUUAUAUAUUUAAGAAGCAUUGAGAAGAUCUCAGGGACGUUACUCUAGAGUGCCUUAAUUGUGAUUUCCUAUCUGAUGUUUCUAGCUUAGAUAAUAUGGCCACACGCUUAAAUCAACAUGAAAUUCACACUUGCCACAUUGAAACAGAGAAAGUUUCUGUUUGUAUCCCAACUUCUGAACAUCUUUCUGAAUUAAAAAAUGAAGCUCCCACUAAGGAACAAAGACCUAUGUCUAAGGAAAUUGAAAGACCAAAUAUGGCUGAAGGAGAAACAGAAACAUCAAGUCCCAAAAGUAAGCAAGAUGAAGCUUUAUCAGAAGAAAAACAUGGAUGUGAUGCAAAUUUACUUGAAGGCUCAUCAGCAAUACAAAAGGAAGA